UAGGGCUUCACACGUCAUACAAUGGUCGGUACAGAGGGUUGCCAAGCCGCGAGGUGGAGCCAAUCCCUUAAAGGCCGAUCCGUAGUACCGGAUCGUAGUCUGCAACUCGACUACGUGAAGUCGGAAUCGCUAGUAAUCGCAGAUCAGCAUGCUGCGGUGAAUACGUUCCCGGGUCUU
rnacentral:rRNA from 1 species